GAAAGAACAGGAUCCAGGUUCAGUAAAACCACCUGAGACCCAGGUCUGGACCGUGGUCUUAGCUGGACCUUUAACUGAAACAGAAGGACUUUUGAGGAACUCUAACUGGAAGUUUAAAAGUUUCAUUAAAAGAUUCGGUUCUGAAAACGAGUCUGAACCCGGUGAUGAAGAUGAUGAUGAGGAGUUUCUGUUCCUCUCAGGACCAUGGUCAGGUUUUCUGGACCCGGUCCACAGGGACCUCUCACCCGGCUGUCGCCGCCGCCGUCGGCCCUCUCUGGACCCGGUGGUUCCUUUGGACCCGGUGGUUCCGGACGCUGCAGGACGAACAGGACGGACUCCAGCAGAACCUCCAGGAUCAGUGCAAACACACGAAGAAGAAGUCGGACCUGCAGUAGAGYCUGAGCCUGAACCUGGUCCCGGGGACACGAGCGAGUAAACAACGACCUGAUUGUCAUGUGACCGGAGCCACAAACAACACCAGCCUGAGCCUCGGAGACGGCUUCUUCCUGAUAAUUCGAUUUAUUCUCAGCUGCAGACGCCUCAGGUGACUCUCCAACACUAUGUGAGCGGCACAGAGUUUAAAGGUUUGCAUCGAGUCAGAAAUCAAUAAAAAUAUCUGUGAAGCAGCCUCAGAGCUGCAGAUCUGCUUUCUGAA